CACUGGCUGAUAAGGACGCUGGAGUCGAGAAGGAGCCAGCAGGCGACGGCUUCCGAGGAUGAGCAAGCUCUGACUCCCUCCAGCUCAGCCUGAGCAGGAGGAGGAAUGCUGAGCACCAUCUGCCUGGCCUACGGGGACAGAGCCAGGCUCAGGAUGAAGAGCAGGGCUGGGCAGAGUGGAAACCCUCCAACACAGACAACCCAGACGCAGACCCGCAGAUGGAUCUGGUGGUGCAACCACCACAGCAGCCAGACGCAGUGCCUCUGUGUCACCUUGUGACCCUGAAGUAGGAAGGGUGGUCCUGGGUUCCUGAAGGGCAGCUGCGUCCCACAGGGUUACCUACGAUAGUCUUGGCCAAAAGCAUCGUGGUGAGGGCUGGCAUUUGAAGAAGUCCCAUUUAUCUUGUUUGCAUUUGGAUUCAUCAUCCUUACACAACAGAACAUCAACUGUGGGCAAAAUGAAAAAAUAAUCCUAUGUGCUUCGAAGUCACAGACACGGACUAGGUCCCUGCCUCUGCCACAUCUGGCUGUGACACGGGACAAAGUCCUGCAAUUUGCUGAGCUCUUUUUUCUUUGUCUGCAAAUAGGGUGGAGGGUGAUAAUCUUUCCCCCACAGAACCAAGAUAAGGAUCAAGGGGGAGUUUCUGUCCACGAGGAGCCCUGAUUCUUAUCCCUUGGCACCGAAAGGCUGGACUCUUUCAAGGCAAGUGUGGACAUCCUGAGACCCGCUGGCAGCUGGAGAUAGAGCAUAGCUUGGCAGGUGUGCUCCAGGGGCACUAAAAGCCUCACUUCAUUCAAUAUAGGCAUCUACCCUGAGUUAGUGCUCUUUGAAUCACACCUUUUGCUGGUGGGGAAACUGGGGCACAGAGAGGUUGCAUCAUGGAGGUGAGGUCACGCAGCAGCAGCAGCAGCACUAAAACAUGGCAGCAGGUGGACCAUGCCAGUCUCUCUACCCUUCACCGUGCUCUUGGGUCUCAAAAUACAGCCGUGUUCCUCAUAAGAACACUCAUGUCCAUGGUGUCCAUGAUGGCCCACACUGACUGUGGUGGUCCACAUGGCUGGAUGUGUGGGAGGCUGGGCCAUGCACACCCCGUGGCCAGGUCACUGACCACGCCUGCCACUUUGCCACAAGGACUGUGCUUUUAACAAGCUAUCUUCUGGGGUGGAUUUCCCUAGAGAUACUAAACUCUAAAACUAUUUGCUUGUGUUCGUUGGAAUUUUCCUUUCUUAAAAGUCCUCUCAAAGAUUGUGUAAAAGGAAAAGAAAAAUGCCCAAAGAAAGCCACAAGGAAACCAUGUUGGAACUCCCAGCAGGGGGCAGUGGGCUGGGCCGCGUGCCCCUCCACUUAGGCCUCAGCAGGCGCUGCCUGGUGAGAACAGGUCUAAACAGCCACUGCUCAUGGAAGAGGACCAGGAAGCCCCCAGCCAACACGUGUGUCCCGGCGAGCUGGGCAGAACCGCUUCAGAGGCCCCGUCCCAUGAAUUAGCCCAAUCGGAGGACCCGCAGCCCGGCGGCGCAGGCCACUUGCAGAGGGGUUUCAAGCCCUUGCUGUCCUUCACUCAAGAUGCCGAGAUGGGCGGCCGUCUUGCAGAGUCAUUGGUCCUCACAAGUGUGCUUUCGUCGCGGGGUAAACACUUGGAGGAGCACUCCAUGGAUAAUCGCUCCCUCUUGGGCUCACACUCCAGAGACGAUGAAGGACGCACUCCCGGGCUUUAAUGGAUCAAAGAGAAUGGUCUGCAAUGUGUCCGUGAUCACUGCACCUGGACACCAGGAGCUGGAGAUGAGUCCUGUCCUCUGAGGACGAGCCUGGAGUAGCAGAGAGGACCAAGAACGCUCUGGCACGGGAGGCGCCCAGAGCUGUGCCUGCCUAGCUGUGUGACCUGUGCCAGCUACUCAACCUCUCUGUGCCUGGUGUCCUCCUCCACACACAGUCAUAGCACCACCUUGAAGGGCUGUGAGAACAUGGCUGGGUGGCUCCGCAUCGCGCACGCACGGCUGGGCUCAGCAGCAAGGGAAGCAGAGGGUGAUGGCAAUACCACGGUGUGGCUGGCAAUCACUCACCUUCUCCGUCUCCAGUCUGGCACCUUCCAAGCCCCCACAAAGGUCAGACGAGGAGAGGCCUCUGUCCUCGUCUGGUCCAUGUCCUCCUUUAGGCCCAGCAGGACAAGUCACUUCCCCAGGGCUCCUCUCCUCCAGGGGAGCUCGCUCAGAGAGGGACCCAGCGCCGUGCCAGCCAGGGGAGGAACAGAAUGAGUGUUUGUUGAUUGACCUCCAGGAAGGUGCUCCUAUGAAGGGAGGUGGGCAGUGAAGCCAGAGGGAGCUGGAAGUGACAGCAGAGGCCACAGGACAGUCAGUUCUGACACAGGAGGGCCAGCAGCUGGGCGGACUUCCUGAAGGAGGGGCUUCUGAGGUGGGUUUAGAGAAUGGAAAGAGGCCCUGGGAGCCCAGGGGGCAAACCCUCUGAAGCGUGGGGAUCCGAGGGUGGGGUCGGGGCUGCAGGACAGCAGCAGGGAGAGAGAGGCCUGGAUCUCGCCUCCCCUGGCCUGUUUAAGCACGUCUCCAGGCAGGUAGGUGAGGAGAAGCCUCAUGAUCUGAUCUUACUGUCUCCAAGGAGAUGGGGCUUCCCGUGGGGGCGUCCCCAGAAUGAGGGGCUGCAGGUGGCCUGUGGGGUUGGCUGGCACUUUGUGUCUGUGGCAGGCACACAGCUCUGAGACCAGCAGGCACAUCUGCCGAGAACUUGGGCCCUACCACAUUCGUCUUCCUACCCCAUUUAGUCUUCCAGGACUAAAAUAGGUGGGGGACGAAGCAGAGACAGGGUCUCCUCCUUAGAGAAGCAGAGACAAGCCCCCUCAUCAGCAUUUUGUGGGCUGAGCACUGGAUUCGGAGAGGUCACAGAGGUGCUUGGGGGGAGAACCAGGACCCAGAGCUGGCAUCCUCCAGUGACCUUUGCCCGUCUCAGUCCUGAAGCCUCCCUGGGCCACAUGCUGUGAGCAGGCUGGAGCAGGGCCAGGUGCCAGGGCCACUGGGAGGCACGAGGGACAACAUCCUGGAAUCCUGGCUCCUGUGGGGUGCUGCCCCCUAGAACAGGGUCAGCCAUGUGGCCUGUCCACCCCUAGGCAGGGCAAAGGUGUGGAAGGUUCAGCUGGGCCUCCCCCCACCACGUGCUCUCGAACCACCUGAGACGAUGGCUGAGUGCAGAUCCUAAGGCCCUCCCCACGGUUCCAACCUGGAGGGCCAGGGUGGGCUCAGAGAUGCCGUUUCCCCAGCGCUGCUGGCCUCGGGCUCUGAAGCAGGUGGUCUGCAGAUAGCACUCAGAGCCUCGGUCCAGGGUCAGUGCUGGGCUCGCAUGGUGGCAAUGCUGCCCGGAGCUGCUGGCCCCCCAGAGGCCAUGAGGUCCCUGGACUGGGACAGUGCAGGAGCAUGUGUUUGUAGUUAUGGGCCCCCUGGCUGCACCCUCUGUGCUCUGCAAAGUACGUCAUUGUGAAGAAUAAAGUCCCCAUUCGUUUGCCGACUCCCAGGCCCCUCCGUGAACCCAGACCUGCACCUUCUCAAGCCGUAGACAUUUCAGAAUUGUCAAACAAUAGGGCUCAAAAUCACGGCCCUCCCUGUCCUCUCGUCCCACGAAGCGCUGUGUGGACCCACGCGUGCGGGAAGGGCCUUGACCGCCUCCCAAUGAGAUGCUCGUUGCUUGGGCUUAUGGUUUUCUUUUAGACAGUCCAGCGGCCCCUUCAUAAAAGGAACAGAUUCCAAGCAGGGUUACGACCCUGAGCAGCAAAAGCCCCCUGCAUGGGAGCCUUGUUUUCUCAGGCUCAUCCGCCUGCCCACCUGGGGUCUGAGAAGGUCCCUGUGUGGUGCGUGACUCAGAGACAGGUGGUCAGCCGAGGAGCCACGCCAGCCCUCUGCACAGGGGUGCCCACAUUCCACUCUGUGUUCCCACCGUGCCCUGCAUGGUCGACAGCUCCCAAACAGGCCCUCCCUGGACAGGCACGGGCUCGCUGCUUGUCAGGAGGCUGAGUUUAACUGACAAAUUGGAUAGGUUCCCCGAGGCCAGGGUUCCUGAGCUUUGUCAUUCUCACUAAAAAUGUGAUUUAUAAUAUAUUCCUAUUUGCCAGACACUCCUUUCCCCAGGAAUGAACACUCAGCACAGAAACGGGAGGCCUGCCCCAGGGCUUGAGCCCACAUGCAAACACACCCCUCCGAGGCUCACUAGCAAAUGAGCAGACGUGCGUGGGUCCCCGGGCAGCAUGGCCAUGCACACUUCAUUCUGAUACGUUUUAAUAUCUUAAGCAGACACUUAAAGUUUGGGACAGGGUGAGAGUGGCCCACAAUUGAUUUCAGAACUUCACGUUCUAAAGGAAAGACCCCAGGGUCUGAUGAAGGAGAUCAACCAGAGCUGGGGGUGUAGCUCAGUGGUGAGCUUCAGCUUAGCCUGCUUAAGGCCCUGGGUUUGAGUCUCAGCACAAAAAAAGAAAGAAAAGAAAAUGUAUUUUCCCAACAUUCCUUCCAGUUUAUAAAAGGAAGACAGUUUUUCUUGCUCCUUCAACAAUCCGGUAUUUCUGAAUGCAGCCUGUGUCAGAUAUUAAAGAGCAAGUCGUGCCCUUGGUGGAGCUUCCCAAGAGACCCUUGGUAAGAAAACAUGCACAUGCACAAAAGCGGCGGAAGCUGCCUGGCUUCUCUCAGAAGUCUGGGUUAAAGUUGCAAACUCAUUUUGCCUGAGAUAACCAGAAAUCCCUAAGCUAAGUGGGCAGAACCGGAUUUGAUCUCUGCAUCUGAUUGCUUAGCAGAAGCCAAGCAGCCAAUGUUUCAACAGUGUCCCCAUAUCAUGAAGCUUCCUAAAAAUCUUCAAGGGGGUAACCUGAGCUCCUGGAAAAUGAUCUUGAAUGUCAAUAGGACAAAGCUUCCCUUCUAAGAUAGAACUGGGGGAGCUGGAGCAGGCCUUCCGCAUUUGGCUUGACAAGAAUCUUUUCUCUUUGUUCUGUGUGCUCUGGAGGGCUUCAGCAGGA